CGCGUAGGUGGUAGUGUAAGUCUGAGGUGGAAUCCCAGGGCUUAACCCUGGAACUGCCUUGGAAACUGCAUUACCUGAGUCAGUGAGGGGAGGGUAGAAUUCCUGGUGUAGCGGUGAAAUGCGUAGAUAUCAGGAGGAAGGCCUGUGGCGAAGGCGGCCCUCUGGUGCUGGACUGACACUGAGGCGCGAAAGCGUGGGGAGCAAACAGGAUUAGAUACCCUGGUAGUCCACGCCCUAAACGGUGGGCACUAGGUGUAGGGCUCGUAAGGGUUCUGUGCCGAAGGGAAACCAUUAAGUGCCCCGCCUGGGGAGUACGGCCGCAAGGUUGAA
rnacentral:rRNA from 1 species